CUCGCUUUGUCUCUCUCUCUGUCUCUCUCUAGUGGUCGUAUGCAUUGGAGAAGCCUAACACUGGUCAGCAGACGGCACGCAGCUCACAGGGACCCCCACCAAGAGGAGGACCAUGCAGGUAGAACACACAGAUCACCCUCACCAAGAGGAGGACCAUGCAGGUAGAACACACAGAUCACCCUCACCAAGAGGAGAACCAUGCAGGUAGAACACACAGAUCACCCUCACCAAGAGGAGAACCAUGCAGGUAGAACACACAGAUCACCCUCACCACGAGGAGGACCAUGCAGGUAGAACACACAGAUCACCCUCACCAAGAGGAAGACCAUGCAGGUAGAACACACAGAUCACCCUCACCACGAGGAGGACCAAGCAGGUAGAACACACAGAUCACCCUCACCGCGAGGAGGACCAUGCAGGUAGAACACACAGAUCACCCUCACCAAGAGGAGAACCAUGCAGGUGUUUCGGUUCCUUAUGCCAUAUGAUUGGUUAAACCUCCAGAAAAAGUCUUAAUCUUUACUUCACCUAAGAAGCCAAACAGUCCCCGAGCCUAAAUUAAUUAAUGAGACAGCUAACUGAGGGUGAAUAGGCCGGUGUGAGAGGCAGACGCAAGUGAGGUGAAGUUAACAGGCUAUUUUAAAGGGCCAGACUAUUCCCCAGGCCUGGGUACUUGUGGCUAUACAUUAUGCUAUAAGCCUCCCAGUGUGGACCAGUGACAAUGGCUAGCCUGUAUAGCAGCCUCCGUCACAGAGUGUGUUUAAACUUCAGAAAACCACAAGGUAGCGUUUACACGCGGUCAACACACCCCCGUGCGCACACACACUGUAACGGACACACACACACGUGGAUAAGCGCAUACGCACACGCACAUGCACUCUCACCAUAGACAACCCUCACUGAGCACUGUUUGCGUUAACCAAACAAACCUGUGUCUUCAGCCAUUUAUUUUCAGGCUUGCAGGGUUUUUUUCUCUCCCUCUCUCUUUUUUAAAAGUGCACAUCUGCCAAUGGUUUGUGAAUCAGGCGGCUAAAUUUACCACUUCGCGGUUAAACAUUUUUAUUCCUGGUUGUUUGGUGAGUAAAUUUGGGUUGUUAGUGGGGGUUAAAGAAGGAUGAUGUUUGAACCGUUAAAUAAAUACCCACCACACCUUUUACCUGCUGGUGGAAAACCACAUUUCAUUCAUUCAUUCAUUCAUUCAUUCACAGGGGAAAUGGGGAAGAACAUUUUUAUCCUAACGGGUGAAAAAAGUAGAAACACACGCGGACGUACGUUUCCACACCAGGCAUUUCUGUCCCCUCCUGUCCUAUGCUUAGACAUGGGCUGUUUCCUGUGUAUAUCAACAGUUAAUCCACUCUGGAGUUUACGUGAGGAACGUGGUGAAUGAUGCGGGGGAUAUUCUGGAGUUCAGGGACCAGGUCACCAAAGCCUCUCCGGCCCACGGUCACCUAGUGGUCACCACCUCUCUCCAGUACUAUGCCUCCAGUGCUAAGAACUGGAACACACCUCUCAUUUUUGACCUGAAGGAGGGGACCGUCAGCCUCAUUAUACAGGCUGAGAAACACUUCCUGUUGGACGGGGGUCUAUGUGUUCUCCUACGAGGGCCGUCUCAUCUCCACGCCCAGAUUCCCCGGCAUGAGAACGGACAUCCUCAAUGCCCAGUCAGUCUCCCUUAGCAACGCCACCAUCGCCAUCCGGGACAAGAGCGAUGAGAAGGAUGGAGGUGGUGGAGAUAGCUCUGGACCAGUGUGGCCCGUCCAGCGAGAGGAAGAUCGCAGUCAUAGACAAGAACCGUGACCUGUACCUGACCGCUGUGCAUCGCAUCAACAGAGAACACAACAUCUGCAAGAUAGGUCCACACCAUGUCCUAGAAUGACUCCGCUAACAUCCUGUGUGGUAUUCAGGACACACAGUUCACUGUGUGGCACUAUCCCGGUGCGGUCUUCUAGCCAGCGGACCUGCUGGCUAAAACACUCUACAUGAAAGACGCCAGUGAGUUCAGCCGUGCGGCCCACAUCCUGAACUAUGUGGGGACCCAGGUGACGGCUCGUUGGUGUACAGCAGCUUACCUACACCACCGUGCUGCAUGAGUACAGCGCCUCCUUUCGCUGGGAGGACGCACUGCGCCUCUGCCGCUUUGCCAAGGACCAGUUGCUGUGGGCGUGUCUCGCUGGCAUGGCAAUGGCCAAUAGGGAGAUGACGACAGUGGAGGUUGCCUAUGCUGCCAUUGGAGAGGGCGUUGGAGCUGGCAGUAAAACAUAAGACCCAUGUGGACACAGUGCAGGCCUACAGCCUCCAAGUUCCAGCAGGACUUUAGCAAGAAAGAGACCAACAAGAGGUUCAUGCAGUACGCUGACAGAUCCAGGUUAAGGAGAGAGAGAAGGCUGCCAUCACCUCUGUUGGGAGCAGCUUGGCCUCUCGACUCUGACCGUUGACCCCACACCUCUGACCUCAUCCAGGGAUCAAAUGUACAACAUAUUUUAAAGUCGUCAUUUAUCAAACGUGGUUAGUGUUAUUUUUGUGUUUGUGAUUUUUAUAAAAAAUAUAUUUUUACAAUUUAACUUAAAUGCCUUAUUCUCUUAGAAUGUACAUAUGUAGACGUUUAAUAAAUACAUAUUUAUCAGA